GACGAACGCUGGCGGCGUGCUUAACACAUGCAAGUCGAACGGAAAGGCCCUGAUAUUGUGGGGUGAUCGAGGGGCGAACGGGUGCGUAACACGUGAGUAACCUGACCUUGACUUUGGGAUAACUUCAGGAAACUGGGGCUAAUAUCGGAUCGGAGAUCCUGCUGCAUGGUGGGGGUUGGAACGUUUCGGCGGUUGGGGAUGGACUCGCGGCUUAUCAGCUCGCUGGUGGGGUAGUGGCUUACCAAGGCUUUGACGGGUAGGCGGCCUGAGAGGGUGAACGGCCACAUUGGGACUGAGAUACGGCCCAGACUCCUACGGGAGGCAGCAGGGGGGAAUAUGGCACAAUGGGCGGAAGCCUGAUGCAGCAACGCCGCGGUCGGGAUGACGGCCUUCGGGGUGUAAACCGCUUUCGCCUGUGACGAAGCGGGAGUGACGGUAAUGGGUAAAGAAGCACCGGCUAACUACGUG
rnacentral:rRNA from 1 species